rnacentral:rRNA from 1 species
GACGAACGCUGGCGGCGUGCUUAACGCAUGCAAGUCGAACGGAAAGGCCCUGCUUUUGUGGGGUGCUCGAGUGGCGCACGGGUGAGUAACACGUGAGUAACCUGCCCUUGACUUUGGGAUAACUUCAGGAAACUGGGGCUAAUACCGGAUAGGAGCUCCUGCUGCAUGGUGGGGGUUGGAAAGUUUCGGCGGUUGGGGAUGGACUCGCGGCUUAUCAGCUUGUUGGUGGGGUAGUGGCCUACCAAGGCUUUGACGGGUAGCCGGCCUGAGAGGGUGACCGGCCACAUGGGGACUGAGAUACGGCGCAGACGCCUACGGGGGGCAGCAGUGGGGAAUAUUGCACAAUGAGCGGAAGCCUGAUGCAGCAGCGCCGCGUUCGGGAUGACGGCCUUCGGGUGGUAAACCGCUUUCGCCUGUGACGAAGCGGGAGUGACGGUAAUGGGUAAAGAAGCACCGGCUAACUACGUG